GUAGGGGAGGAAGGACAACGGGACUCCUAGGCCAGGAAGCUAACCUAGGCAGAAAGACCUAGAGAGAGGGCACGCAGAGAGCUGCAGGGGUGCUGGGUACCACGCCUCUUCUACAUUCAUCUACAUUCAUCGGCAUCCCCGCCGUGUGCACGCGCCGCCCGUGGCCACACCCCCCAGCCCCACUGCCUUUGUUAGGGUGGAUUGGGCCUCCUUGUAUAAUCAUCCGCUGCAGAGGCUUGGGGAAUCUGGCCUGAGCCCGAGUCUAGAGAAGAAUAGGACUCAGCCGGGUUCCCAGGGGCGUACAGGCCAAGACGGUUUGCCCCACGCACCACAGAUGGGAACUGAAAGUCAAACAGAUCUGCCUCCUGGCUGAAUCUGGAAGGCACUGGCGAAGUUUUCACAGCAAUUUUUUUGUAAUAUAGAUGAAUGGGUUUGAGAACAGCCUGGUCUACACAGUUCCAGACCAGGUUUCUUUGUGUAGCUGUGGCUGACCUCGAACUCUCCGAGACCUUUUGGUCUCAUAUUUUUAUAUCGACUGGGGGCUUUCACCUUGUAGCUGAAGAUGACCUUGAAUUCUAAUACUCUAGUCUCC